rnacentral:rRNA from 1 species
CGGCGGACGGGUGAGUAACACGUGGAUAACCUACCUAUAAGACUGGGAUAACUUCGGGAAACCGGAGCUAAUACCGGAUAAUAUAUUGAACCGCAUGGUUCAAUAGUUAAAGACGGUUUUGCUGUCACUUAUAGAUGGAUCCGCGCCGCAUUAGCUAGUUGGUAAGGUAACGGCUUACCAAGGCAACGAUGCGUAGCCGACCUGAGAGGGUGAUCGGCCACACUGGAACUGAGACACGGUCCAGACUCCUACGGGAGGCAGCAGUC